UAAUUUAUGUUGAUAAAAGUAGACAUACAACUGUGCCUUAUAUUUUACGCAUAGGUGCUGUAUGAACAAACUGCUACAUAACAUUUGGACAUUAUAAAAAAAUCAACAAUUGUCCUUUUACAGGAUUCAUUCAAAUGUUGUAAGCAAAGGUAAGUUCGCUACAAAAAAUGGCUAAAAAUUUGAAUUUUUUAAUCAAGAGGGGGAUUUUUAUUUAAUACGUUCGGUAUUAUAGAUCUACUGGAUGUUUCUAAUCAUUUAGUAAUGUAAGAUAUUUGGAGUCUGGAGACUCUUUUCAGUUAUUAUUCAGAUUCGCAAGAAUUCAUAUCAGUAAGACAAAGCUAUAAGGUUUUAAUCAGUAAGGGACUUAUAAACGGACAGAAUAGAAAUAAGAUCAGUUAGAAUAGCGUAGUAUAGCAGUAAGUUGGACUGUAGAUAAAAAUUUCAAGUUUAAAUCUAUCUAAUACUCCUCUAAUUUUUUCCAUCGCUUACAGUAAGAAGUCUAGUUAUUUAUUUACAAUGUUUCAUUUUAAUUUUAUUGAUAGCGAAUGUAUUAAUAAAAAAGGUGGAAUAUUUUGUUAAAUAAUUAAAUAUAAUAAUCAAUAACAAGUUGUAGCUGUAAACGUCUAUUUUUAAAUGCCGUCUAGCAUCUUUUUUUUAAUUUAACGUGGCGGUACCAAUAUAGAGCCAAAUUGGGACUAUAUUCUCUCAUUUAUAAACAGAAUAUUUGAUUAAAAUGUUAGAACACGAUUUACAAGCUUCAAAAUAAGUGUUUAGGGGUUUUCAACCACUGAAAACGUGGUCCUGAAAACUUCUAGAUGCCCAUUAUUAAUCAGAAUAUUUUCUGAUAUCUCAAUCAAAUAUUCUGUGGAUAAAUCAAUGAUUUCAGUCCCAAUAUUGUGCCAUAUUAGUAUUCCCAUGUUAAAUUUUUUAACUUGAUUGGGGUCAAUAACGUAGUCAUGGAUAUCAUUAAUAAGAUCUUAUACCGAGAAUAAACGAAGUUUAUCAGACUGCUCUUUUUCCACCCUAUAUCUGAAUUUGCAGUAAUAAAAAUUUCAUAAAAAUAUUCUUUUUUUUUUAACUUUUAAUCUUAGUUUGAAUUGCCUGAUAUUGUUCAUAUACGUUAUCUCUAGAGGAAUACGGUUUCAUUUUGUACAUAUAUAUCGUAGAUUUUGUAUACUAAGCAAAUAUUGUCAUCAAAUGACAGCUUUACGUACAAAAAAAUAAAAUAUUUUUUUAUUUUUUAUAUUAACCAUAUUCCUCUAGAUUUUCAUGCAUACUUUGUUUCUGUAAGAGUUUUGCAAUUCUAUAAAAGCAAUUAAAAAAUUACUUUAUUUAAAGAAUGUCGGUAAAACAGAGGACUUUAGAUUCUUUAACAUCUCCUUAACUUUCUCAGGAAUGGUGAGGAGAAGUACACUUUCCACCUCAUUUUCUUUGGUUUUUUCGAUAUAACUGAGGUCUGUUACAUCGUAUAAUCGUGAGAUAAACUGUUCUAUACUUGUUAAUAAUAGAAUUAUGCACUACUAUACGAGUUUUGCAUCAAUCAUACAUUUUGCAAUUGUUAUCAAACAAACAAUGAUAAAAAAUGCUCUUUUUUCACGAUAAAUUCGUUCUAGAAGUCUCUUAAAUGUAAAUAGACUUACAGACCAUAAUUUUAUUAAAUUCUAGAGAUAAUAAACUAAAUCAUAUUAAGGGGUUAGAGGCAGUCAAUAACUUUGAAAAAAUCGAUUUUUCAAUUUUACUAUUUCCUAAUAGUAGAACAUUUCAAGAAUAUUCCCUGAAAGUUUCAAGCUAAUCUAAUUAAAAGGGACGGAGUUAUAGAACUGUAACGAUUGCUCUGUUCGGAGCAGGUAGCCUGGUGCAUCGGCAGCAGCUGCUCUCUGCUUUUGUUAGGAAUACUGGUAUAUGUAUAUAUCUGCAUUGAUAUUUUAUAAGCGAUUCUGUCAGAAGGAACUCCGUACGGCCCUGAAAUAAACGACUCAGUAUAAUCCAGUCCCGAGAAAUCUUGCUCACCGCAAGCCAUCUUUUUUAAAAGGCCGUCCACGCCAUGGGCUGUUAUGCCCAAACGAAUGAAUAUUUUUGCAUGAAAAUUUUUGUAGACAUUCCUUAAAACUUACUUUAUAAUACAUUAAAAUUGUUUUAAUUAAAAAUAUAAAUAAGUCUUCAAAAAAAUCGCAAAAGUGCGUUUUUUUACCUGCUGACUGCCACUAACCCCUUAAGUUUAAGUUGCAGAAAGUAGAUUGUUACUAUUUUGUAUUCAACAAAAUAUAUUUCAAAAAUGCUAUUUUCAGCAUAUAAAAUUGAUUCAUUCAUUCAUUUCAUUUCAUUCACUUCAUUUAUAAGUCAGUUGUAUAGAAUUUCGUACUUAAUGGUUAUUUAGGUUGCUGAUUAUGAAAAUGACCUGAAAAAUGUAAAAUUUAAAAUGGCGGCUACAAAAUAUCAAAUAAAAUGAUUUCAAGAAUAUAAUUCUAGGAAUUUUCUAAAUCAAAAACUAUGCAUUUUAGUGAAAAAACCAAAAAAGACCUUUUUUAUUACGAAUUUGUGAAGAAAUGGCUAUAUUUUUAUCUUUGAAUUUUAAAUUUUUAUAUUCGUCUGCCAUAUUGGAUCCACCAUUUUAAAUUUUUAAAAUUUGCAUCUAAAACAUACAAAUGCGACAGGAUCUAUCUGACAUAAUUACUAGAAAAAAUGUGCCCCUUAAAGAGUUAAUAGGAUAUUUUGUCAUUUGAACGCUGAAUUUGAUCAUCAAAAUAGAUCAAAGUUAACGCUGAAUAGUAAUAUUUGCUUAAAAUAAGUGUAGUGUCAAACUUCAAGCAUUAAAUAACUGUUCCAGUCUAUACAAAUAAAAAAGUAAAAAUCAGCGCGCGUGUGUGCGUGUGUGUGUACACUUUUCAGAAAUUACAACAAAUUUUGACAAUUAUUUAUUCAACAGAUAUUUUAUAUAUUUUAAUUUUCAAAGAAUUUCUAUAAUUAAAUUUUCCUGCUUAAGACUCACAUUAAGAAAACAAAAUUACUUUAUGUAUAUAAACAGUAUUUAGUAUCAAAAGAAUUUAAACAUAAGCAAAGAAAAAAAACUUUGGAACUUAAUUAUUUUAUUAACACAAGAUAAAAAAAUA